AUUGAACGCUGGCGGCAGGCCUAACACAUGCAAGUCGAACGAGUGGCGGACGGGUGAGUAAUGUCUGGGACACUGCCUGAUGUAGGGGUAUAACUACUGGAAACGGUAGCUAAUACCGCAUACCAUCGGAUGUGCCCAGAUGGGAUUAGCUAGUAGGUGGGGUAAAGGCUCACCUAGGCGACGAUCCCUAGCUGGUCUGAGAGGAUGACCAGCCACACUGGAACGGAGAAACGGGCCAGACUCCUACGGGAGGCAGCAGUGGGGAAUAUUGGACAAUGGGCGCAAGCCUGAUGCAGCCAUGCCGCGUGUAUGAAGAAGGUCUUCGGGUUGUAAAGUACUUUCAGCGGGGAGGCGUUACCCGCAGAAGAAGCAACGGCUAACUCCGUGCCAGCAGCCGCGGUAAUAC
rnacentral:rRNA from 1 species